rnacentral:lncRNA from 1 species
AUGGAAACAUUUCCGCUCCCUCCCGGAUUCUCGUCAUCCCCUGCAUCGUCUGCGGCCUCGGCUCAACUCCGCCCUCAGCCGCCGCUGUCGUCGCAGCCCGAGCCCCAGUCUGGGGCCAGGCUGGGCCCCGCCGGAGGAGAAGGCGACGAAGAGGAGGCGAUGGCCCCCGUGCUGCUGACAGCCCCGGGCCCCCGCCAGGCCUCGCUGACGUUCCGGGACGUGGCCGUGGACUUCACCCCGGAAGAGUGGGGGCGCCUGGACCCCUCGCAGAAGGCUCUGUACCGGGACGUGAUCCUGGAGAACUACAGGAACCUCGUGUGCCUGGGUGAGGAGGGGCGGGGCUCCGGGUAGCUUGAGGCCCCUCCCCCGGAAGUCUCUACCAAUGGGGGGCGGGGCGGGGCGGGAUCUCUACAGGCACGCAGGCACUCGUCCUCGUCCUCAGCGGAGGGACACAUUUCCUGCCCUUCAUAGCCUCGGUCUCCUGGGCUCCUCCCGCGGGUCCCUCCUCGCCCCCCACCCUUUCCUGCAAGGGAGGGGCCGGGCUCCAGCUGUUCCCCAUUUUCCCGGGCAGGACUCGCAG